rnacentral:rRNA from 1 species
UGGGGAAUUUUGGACAGUGGGCGAAAGCCUGAUCCAGCAAUGCCGCGUGUGUGAAGAAGGCCUUCGGGUUGUAAAGCACUUUUGUCCGGAAAGAAAUCCUUGGCUCUAAUACAGUCGGGGGAUGACGGUACCGGAAGAAUAAGCACCGGCUAACUACGUGCCAGCAGCCGCGGUAAUACGUAGGGUGCAAGCGUUAAUCGGAAUUACUGGGCGUAAAGCGUGCGCAGGCGGUUUGCUAAGACCGAUGUGAAAUCCCCGGGCUCAACCUGGGAACUGCAUUGGUGACUGGCAGGCUAGAGUAUGGCAGAGGGGGGUAGAAUUCCACGUGUAGCAGUGAAAUGCGUAGAGAUGUGGAGGAAUACCGAUGGCGAAGGCAGCCCCCUGGGCCAAGUACUGACGCUCAUGCACGAAAGCGUGGGGAGCAAACAGGAUUAGAUACCCUGGUAGUCCACGCCCUAAACGAUGUCAACUAGUUGUUGGGGGAUUCAUUUCCUUAGUAACGUAGCUAACGCGUGAAGUUGACCGCCUGGGGAGUACGGUCGCAAGAUUAAAACUCAAAUGAAUUGACGGGGUCAUAGCUGUUUCCU